rnacentral:lncRNA from 1 species
UAUAAACCGAUAUUGAGCUGAAAUUAAACCUAAACCCAAAAAGUCAUUAAUAAUUUAUGCUUAGCUUGAUCAAAGCGUUCAUAUGUAAUGUACGAUUCGAUCAGCAACCUGUAUUAAUUAAGUUAAUAUAACCCACCUCCAUUAUUCCUUCAUCUAUCAUCACCCUCUCCAUUAUUCCUUCAACCCAGCUAUAAUCACCUUCUCCAACAUUUAUAGAUUAAAAAGUGUCGGUUGCUGUAGAAGAGCCACGCUAAUCAUAUUGGUGAUCAGAGCAACAGCUUGAAAGGUGACCUGUAUUAAUUGUUUAUUUUGAAGUAUCUUCUUCCUCUUUUGCUGAACUUCAUCCAUUAACAAUCUCUACACAACCACAUUAACGCUCCCGUCUGCCGCUAAUAUCACCGAUAGAUACUUUCUCUUUCACUACGCAGUUUGUUCCCUUUAUCAUAUAUCUUGCUGCAGGUGCUCAGUAAAGGAGAUACCUUUAUGAGAGGAUCUGGAUUCGACGUAAUUAGGCCCCACCCAAUUAACACCGCCAGAGGUAAUAAAUGAAAGCUCAUGAAAUCAUGGAAACUGUUCAGGCCAGGUUCAGUAAGGGAUCAAAAACCCUAAAGCUUUCAUUGUUUUCAUCCAACGUGUCACAACUAACAAGGGUGACCAGGUCGAUCGAUAGGCAAACUUGUACAUAUCUCUAAGGUUGGAUUUUUUUUCCCAUUUAGACAUGUAGAAGUAUUGAUCGGUUGCUCUAGAUUUUUCCAAAAAUCUUAUUUGUUUAUGAAUUAUAUUUUAAUUUUAUAUAUCUAAAACAAAAUGGAACUUUUUAUUUAUAAAUAGAGUAUAUAUAAUAUUGAUAAUUAAUAUUUUAUUAUUAUGAUUUUUGAAAGUAAGAUAAUAUUUUAUAUCAUUUUUUU